rnacentral:sRNA from 13 species
UCUAACAUUCUAACUUGGUUGAUUAUUUAAUUAGACGUCUAGACUCUAGAUCUAUAUAAAUCAAGUAACAAUGUACAUAUAAAAAAAUGGAGAAUCCAGAAGCUUUAUUGGAUUUUUUAACCAUCAGGUCAUGGAAAGAACGUUACCACACAGA